rnacentral:rRNA from 1 species
UACAGAGGUCUCAAGCGUUGUUCGGAUUCAUUGGGCGUAAAGGGUGCGUAGGCGGCGCGGUAAGUCGGGUGUGAAAUCUCGGGGCUUAACUCCGAAACUGCAUUCGAUACUGCCGUGCUUGAGGACUGGAGAGGAGACUGGAAUUUACGGUGUAGCGGUGAAAUGCGUAGAUAUCGGAAGGAACGCCGGUGGCGAAAGCGGCGUGCUGGACCUCUUCUGACGCUGAGGCGCGAAAGCCAGGGGAGCAAACGGG